rnacentral:rRNA from 1 species
UCCCCUAGUAACGGCGAGUGAACAGGGACAAGCCCAUCGCCGAAGCCUGUGUCCGUUUGGUCACUAGGCCAUGUGGUGUUAAGGUUGAACCGCAGUGGCACUGCUCCACCCUAAGUCCAGCAAUGAGUACGGUGGUAUGGACAUGGCCCGCAGAGGGUGAAAGGCCCGUGGGGGUGGAGAUCAGGUACGUCAGUGUCUCUCUGGGUAGACCUUGGAGUCGGGUUGUUUGUGAAUGCAGCCCAAAGUGGGUGGUAAACUCCAUCCAAGGCUAAAUACUGGCACGAGUCCGAUAGCGAACAAGUACCGUGAGGGAAAGUUGAAAAGUACUUUGAAGAGAGAGUAAACAGUGCGUGAAACCGCUCAGAAGUAAACGGGUGGAGUUGAACUGCAAGCACUGGGAAUUCAGACGGUGAGUAUGGCUUAAACUUGGUUAAAUUGGUUGAGCUUGAGAGUCUGUGUAAUGACAGGUCUCUACCCUUGUGGUGGUGUUGCGCGAUGUACUUAUCAUGUGUUGUGCGCUCUCGAUGCUUCGAACCGGCUUGCCGUUGCACUUUCCCAGUGUGAUCACCACGACCGGCAUUGCUGCCUGACUAUUGUGAUCAAACCGGUGUGACUUAGUCCUCGCGACUUUAUCACAUUGGGGUGGCAGGUGACUCGUUAGUCUACUGUCUGUGUGAUUCAACUCAGGCAGUAGUAGCUAUUCGAGUGUAAUGAGCCGGUUGCAAUAGUUCUGUGCAGUGUACCGGAGACAGCGGCUUGGUGUGUGUGUGUGUGUGCGCAAUGGUUCAAUCGGCUGGUUCGAGUCUGGUCAUGUUGUUGCCUGUCAAAGCAGGCCUCGUGAUGUCUCGGAUUUGUUCGUUUGAUGGUUGUGCAUACGACACUGUGAAGGGCCAAUAG